rnacentral:rRNA from 1 species
AGAGUUUGAUCAUGGCUCAGAUUGAACGCUGGCGGCAGGCUUAACACAUGCAAGUCGAGCGGAGAUGAGGUGCUUGCACCUUAUCUUAGCGGCGGACGGGUGAGUAAUGCUUAGGAAUCUGCCUAUUAGUGGGGGACAACAUUCCGAAAGGAAUGCUAAUACCGCAUACGUCCUACGGGAGAAAGCAGGGGAUCUUCGGACCUUGCGCUAAUAGAUGAGCCUAAGUCGGAUUAGCUAGUUGGUGGGGUAAAGGCCUACCAAGGCGACGAUCUGUAGCGGGUCUGAGAGGAUGAUCCGCCACACUGGGACUGAGACACGGCCCAGACUCCUACGGGAGGCAGCAGUGGGGAAUAUUGGACAAUGGGGGGAACCCUGAUCCAGCCAUGCCGCGUGUGUGAAGAAGGCCUUAUGGUUGUAAAGCACUUUAAGCGAGGAGGAGGCUACUGAGACUAAUACUCUUGGAUAGUGGACGUUACUCGCAGAAUAAGCACCGGCUAACUCUGUGCCAGCAGCCGCGGUAAUACAGAGGGUGCGAGCGUUAAUCGGAUUUACUGGGCGUAAAGCGUGCGUAGGCGGCUUUUUAAGUCGGAUGUGAAAUCCCCGAGCUUAACUUGGGAAUUGCAUUCGAUACUGGGAAGCUAGAGUAUGGGAGAGGAUGGUAGAAUUCCAGGUGUAGCGGUGAAAUGCGUAGAGAUCUGGAGGAAUACCGAUGGCGAAGGCAGCCAUCUGGCCUAAUACUGACGCUGAGGUACGAAAGCAUGGGGAGCAAACAGGAUUAGAUACCCUGGUAGUCCAUGCCGUAAACGAUGUCUACUAGCCGUUGGGGCCUUUGAGGCUUUAGUGGCGCAGCUAACGCGAUAAGUAGACCGCCUGGGGAGUACGGUCGCAAGACUAAAACUCAAAUGAAUUGAC